GACAGAGGUGCCGAGCGUUAGGCGGAAUCACUGGGCUUAAAGCGCGUGUAGGUGGCGGCCUAAGUACCUUGUGAAAUCCUGCGGCUCAACCGCAGAACUGCUUGGUAUACUGGGUCGCUUGAGUCAUCCAGGGGCAACUGGAACAAAGCGGUGGAGCGGUGAAAAUGCGUAGAUAUCGCUUGGAACGCCAAAGGUGAAAAACAGGUUGCUGGGGAUGUU
rnacentral:rRNA from 1 species